GUCGGUUUUAACCUUUUUUUUAAAAACUUUUUUUUAAAUUUUCCUAACAACCGGACGCCAUUUUGUUUAGUCAGUGCUUCCACAUUCAAAGAUAUAUUUCCCUAAUAUUGCCUCAAAUUUCCAUUUUUCACAAACGUUUUCCUCUAAGUGGAAACACUUACAAACAUGAUCCAAUAAAAAAGUUUAGGGUCGGGAUUUCGGCGUCCAAAAGCUAGGUAGGGUCGGG